GUGCGGCUCUGUUUCCUUCCAUGGCGAGGCCGAGGUCACUCGGGCGUGGCAGGGCAGCGGGGCGGCGGGGCUUCCUUCCACGACGGGGCGGUGGCUGGAGUUGUCGCCGCGGAGCAGGAGGUCGGAGUUGUUCGAGUCCAACUAUGGGCUUGCGCGGAGGCAGAGGAGCUCCCGUCGUCCAUGGCGAAGCUUCUAGCUAGUUGCCACUGUUUCGAGGAGGAUGUAGGAGGAUGCGUCGCCGGCGAGAUUGGAUGAUUUUGUUCGCCAGCUUCAUCCCUGAGUGUAUCGGAGGUGUCGAGUGCAGGCAGCCGUGGAUGGUCAAGAGGUUGGUGAAUAGCAAGGCAGUCGCGGAUGGUCAAGCGAUCCAACAUAAUUUUGGGGGAGAUGUACAAGCUUGACCUAGAAAACGAGAGAAAAGAGGAUCCGGGAAGCAGUAGGGGUGAGGUGGAGAAGUGAAGUACCUGUCCUGAGAGUGUAUGAUGUACAGAGGGUUGCCUAGAUUCAUCCGCAC